rnacentral:lncRNA from 1 species
UUUAGCUAAAACAUUCUGUAUAUAGAAAAUCAAUAGCUAAACCUGAUUAGACAGACUUGACUCAUUAACUUGAUUCUUCAUUGUUUUUAAAGACAUUCAGAUUUGGACUUUGGGGAGGCCCCAGUUUAAAGUUGCUAUAUGUCAAUCAUCCCCGUUUUCUCUGUCAAAGAUGAGAAACCCUAGUAGCUCGGUGUCCCAACAUGAAGACCUUGCAGUGAGCCUGGAUUGCACAGACAGGCUUAUAGCAGAGGCAGAGCAGAGGAGGAGAAGGCAUGAGAAAAGUGAAGGGAGAAAAUGACAUAGAACAAAAGACUUUGAGAGGAGUUGAGUAUAGGGAGGGAUAGAGGAAGAACCACGGGUCACUGCUUCAUGGGCUGCUCAGUCAGCUAAGCACAAGUCCUGUAUCAGCCUCCUGUUUCAGUACUCUGUAUCUGAUUACAUGAACAGCAGCAGAAAUUUGGGCCCAAGGUAAUGUGCAGACUGAGGAAUUUCUUAUCAUUCGGAGUUGACCUCAUUACAGCAGUAUAUAUAACGAAGGUACCUAGUGAAAGUGUCUAUGUAUUUUUCUAGGAAAUGGAUUCUUCAGAUGUGAGGAUUACUAAUUUUUAUGUGACCAGUUCUUUUAAAAAAAAUUAUCUUGGAACCUAGAGGUUUUUAUUUCAUAGCUCUGUUUUGUAUAUUUAGUAGUGGUCUAAGUUAUUUGGUGAGUCAGUAGUAGAAGGGUGAUGUGGGGCCUUCAGUUUGCCAUAGAAUCCUUAGGUUUUACUACUUGACCUCCAUAUUAUCCCUUAAUUCUUGUCAUUGUAGCUACAAUUAGGGAUGCAGGGUUAGAACUUAAGUGGCUGCAAUCUGAAUACUACUAAGAAUUCAACGCACAGAGCCUGUUGAUGGCAGCACUGUAGCAUCUAGCACAACUUUCAUGAAUGAGUAUCUUUUUCCUAUAAGGCAAUCAAAAACUACCUGAGAGGCAGCAGGAAUAAAAUGUAAGUUUCUGGGCUUUGUUCUAGAUUUACCCCCCAGUUUUAGUGGAAAGUUAGAAAUUGAUUUGAUUUUAGAAAAGAGUUUUAAUACUGGACAAUUCAACCAUCUUUAGAGCUCCUUGGAAGCUCUUUAAGAACUGUUCUCCCUGUAACUAAUGUCCCUUGACUCUGUAUGUGGCAUUCAUUUUAUUGAUGAACCAAAACAGUUAUCUAUCCAAAGCAUUAAAUAACUUGUUCUUUUGAAGAGCAGUCUGAAUUUUACUUGUUGCUGUCCCUCUGGCUGGCAACUUAAACCUGGGACUGUUGUUCCUGUUUUAUUCACCGGCCUUGGAAAUCAUGUAGUCUAAACAACUUGACUUAAAUUCCUGUUCCAUAAUCCAGUGUCUCUAAUGAUAAGCUGCAUAAUCUUUAGAAUGGGGAAUAUGAAUCAGAUAUCCUUACUGAUCUUUCAUACAGUUGAACUAAUGACAAACUUAAACCAUCUCUUGCAGGAUAUCACUAGACCUCUUGUUUUACUAAAGUCAGUGCAGUCGUUUCUCACAUAAAAAUAUUCUAUACUGAUAUAAUGCUUUUGGCUUGUCUCUCUUCACUCCUCUGUUAAUAUUAGAGUAGUACAUUCAGGUUUGUACUUGUUUGGGAUCAGUAAUGGGAUCAGUAACCAGGAUUGUAAGGGGACUUGUGAAAUAUGAGCACUAGGAAAGGGGUGUUAAGCAGGCAUCACGAGAAGAUUAGGUUAGAUCUUCUUUAACAUUUAUUGCAAAACUUGGUGAUUACCUGAGAUAAUUUUCUGUCCUGAGGAUCCUGUGAUAGCUAGCUACCGUGUAGUCUGUGUUUUAGAAUGAAUGUUGUCAUUCUGAUGACACAAGUAUUUUACGUUUAUGUACAAAGGAGUCCAAUGCCAUCAUUCAGCUGGUCAGCCUUAACAUUCAUAAAGGAUCUGUUUGAUACUCAAUCCAUACCGGGAAAGGCUAACAAAUACUUUUAAAAAUGUUAUUAAGCAAAAAUGCUGGUGUAAGAUCAACAAUUCUUUCAAAAUUGACACCCAACUAAAUACAGUUAGGGAGCAAAUUCUUUUUGAGAUUAGGGCCAAUAUUUAGUAUUAAAUGACUUCAGUUAUUGUUGACAUUGUACUUUUACCUUUGUAUGUGGUCAGCAAACAAGUUCCACAAGUUUAGAGAGAAUCAAGAAUAUAUGCUGCAUUCUCUAAAUAAUGUAAAAUAGCUAAAUUCAUGCUAUCUUCCACCCAAAGAUGUGAAGUUUUGAGCAAUUU